ensembl:lncRNA
UAUUUUAUAUAAAUAUUUAUUUAGUCUUGCCCUCUGAAUGGCGCACACACACAAUCCAUGUCUCAAUUGUCUAGAGGCUUAAAAAUCCUUCUAUAACCUGUCUCCUUCAUCGGCACAGGUGGAUUUAACAAGUGACAUCAGUAAGGGAUCUUAGCUUUCACCUGGAUUCUGUCUGUCAUGGAAAGAGCUGGUGUUCCUCAUGUUCUGUACACUCAGUAUUUGUAUUAUUUAUUUUAUACAGUCUUUAUCAAGGGUGGCAAUCAUUUUGUUUAUCCAUGAACAAUUUUAGAGUCUGAGAAACUAUAAAAUACUGUAUGAAAUCUAGAAAAACCAGCCAGCCGUCCAGUGCUUGUGUGUUAUUUAAAUAAAAUAACCUUUGUAUUGUUUUAUAGACAAAUAAAACACGAUGCGUUUGCCUUUCUUUAGCACUGAAGGGUUAAUAGCUGAGUUUAUGGAGCACAAAAGUAGCUGAAAACCAAUUAAUUACAUUUAGCUAGCAAUUAACUUAAAUAUACAGUGAAUAUGCACAGCCCCUUUCCAAAUUGCCAGUGUAAAAUGUUAUGUGCAGGCACUGGAUGGUGUUGACAUAUCAACACAGCUAAAGGUUAUUCAGAAAUAAAGACACUAGACCAGUCUCCAUAGCAACCACGUCCAUUGGAAAUGGCUCCUUCUUCAUGGAAUCAAUGCAGUAGGCCUACGUGUAUACAGUAUAAUAAUAUACUCCUCAAAUCAUGAUGCCUUUGGAUGUAUCUCUUAUUGGGAUAGCUGUACAUAGAACAGAAAAUCCAUAAACCCUCCAUAUGUAGAACCCUCCCAUUGCUACUCAGACCGAUUCAAUAUACGGCAGUGUUCUUGAUUUAAUAUUGAACAACUUAAACUGGCAUAUAUCAAACAUUUCUCAAAUCAUCUAAAAUACAUACAAAAAUCUAUGACACAAAUGAAGUUCAACCCACACAAUUGCAAUAGUCAAUUUGAUGUUUUCCUUGGUUCUGAAUUUCAUAAUCCAGUUAUGGCCAUAUCUCACCACAUUGGUCUUCUCACAAACACAAUUGUAUACAUUCAUAUUUUACCAGUUUUAUGGAAACUUAGUUUUAUGCUUGUAUAAAAAUUACUUUUUUUUACAGUGAUGGCAAUCUCAGUCGGUUUCCACAAUAGCAAGGGUAUAGUCUAUCACCUUUCCAUACUCCUCACAUUUACAGUGAUUUAAAAAAAAAUGGGGCCCUUGUCAUCCUUUAUUCUCUGUGACAUCAGGCCCCUCACUUUGUCACCACUCUCUUAUAGGUUAUGACUACCUGGGUAACGCUGUACCAUCUUCUCCACUCCCAACUCCUCCACCACCAGGUCCCAGAUCUCCUUCACACAGUCCUGGGCCUUGGGGGCAGGCUCCCCAGCCUGGAGGGCCUCUUUGGCUCAGCAGGGAGGGUGGCCGGGGCUGUGGAGGGACGACAUUCACAUUGGCUGCUGAUGCUAUGGUUGAAUCAGAGCAUGCAGUGACUUCAACACUAGGCGUUAACGGAGAAGCUAAAUGUUGCUUCAGCGACAUGGUUAGGGAGAACGGGGUCCACCCUCUGAUAAGGGGGUCGGUGGUGAUGCUGACAGGUGAUUCACUCACACUGACCUCUAAUGCAAGGUCAGAGGUCACAGAAACGCUAAUCUCCUCUCUACUGCUUAGUGACACUUUGACCUCCUUGGCCGGGGCUGCUGUUCCUGACUCCACUGUAACAUCUUCAUUAGGGGUCUCAAUGUGUGACGGGGGCCAACUCGCUAUCUGUAACCAAGUCCUCAUUCCCAUCAUCAGGGAUGGAUGGGGCUGUCACAGGCUCCUCCACAUCUUUGGUCUCUACUGCUGCAGCAAGUCUGGAGUCUGCAGGUGGCACCGUUACAGGCUUCUCACCACUAGAGGGCACUGCUGGGUCACUGUGAGGAGGACUCUCUCUAUCAGCUUUUGGUUCAGUAGUGGUGAUCGUGAGAGAAGCCACGCCACUGAAUCUUCAACAACUACCGGGUCAAUGACAGCUACAUGGUUGACAACACAAACAGGGACAGGAGAUGUGGGUCAAGGACAGAGUCCGGACUGGGGGAAGGAGCUUUGCGCUACUGUGGUCGGUGUCCCUACUUUCUCCUUUUCAACAGCGACUGGCUCUUCUACCGUCACUAUUUCAGGGGCAAUUGGAUUGUCUACGUUCUCUGUCUCAACUGGAGGGCCUGUGUCAGCAUGAGUGGUCUAAGAUAGAGCAGGAAUGUCCACUUUAGCUGCCUCAGUUAGGACAGGGAUGUCCAAUUGAGCUGUUUCCGUUGUAGCAGAUCUAGCCACUUUAUCUGUCUCGGCUGGGACUGGAGAGUCCCAUUGAGUCCCAUCAGUUGGUUCUCUAUACAACAAGAGUACCGUCCUGGCUGGCAUGAAAAUGAGCCAGGAGAAAAGCGUCCUCCAUUUGCUAUUUAAUUGCAUAGGUGACAUGUAUUUUUUUCCUGCUGCCCCUGUUUUAUUAUCACUUGUGAAUGAUGCCCAGCUUAAGGCAAAAAAGAAACAGCACAUGCUUUUUUUUGUGCAACUUUUUAAAAUCAUGGUCACACACUUCGUGUAGCCUAGCCCAUACUCCCAUAGGCUUGUAUCGCAACAAGUGGCCAAAUAACUUCUUAAAAUGAAGCACAUUAAUCCACGUUACAACGGGUGUAGAGCCUAACUGGCAUACACACACAGCGCCUGUGUCAAGUUUAGGAAAGAUCAUUUUCACCUUAAAAUGUACCUUGAUAAUAAGACCUAUAAUAAAAAUGCAUAAUCGCAUUUGCAGCCUACUGCCGUGUGCACAUUGUUGCGCUUAUAAUGUAAGAAAAAGCCUAACAGUUUAUCAACAUCGUAAGUUAAACGCUCUCAUCUGUUGUGUCAGGCUCAUUGCUUAAAGCGUUUUUUUAAUGCUAGUGGUUGUACUCAUUUGGGAUCUAUCGCAUCCCACAACCGUCCCAGACUAUAUUUUGAAUAUUUAUUUCUCGCACAGAAUAGGUCAACUUUUGUAUUUUUGGAAUAGUAAAUUGACACAGGCUAGUGCUUUUGCUAUUCAUUAGGCCUACACAUCUUGUUGGCUGUAGAAAAUUAAAUGUGGACAGUUCUUUCAAUAUCUUCAGUAUGUGCCUCGGAAUUGGAUAAGUACACGCGCAGUUACGUGCUGGAUGUGUCUGUCUUCACCGGAUGUGUCUGUCUUCAUUUGUAGCCUAUAAUAAAGACCCUAUCACGUGACAGAGAGCCGUGUGAAUGAGAGGUGCUUCAGCACGCAGCAGGGAGAAGGGAAUUAUAAUUAUAAUAUUCAUCCCAAGGGCAUAACGGGCCCCUGGCCGCAAAAGGAAUUGACUUUUUCAGGGGGCAUUAUGGCCACACAAAGGGGAUGUAGCCGGGAAAUUCGAGGCAUUAUCAAGUGCUUGUCAAAUUGUGAAUGAGGGACUGAUAUACCUUUCAUGCACAUUUUUUCAAAUCAUCAUUAGAGUUGUAUCAUGCAGCCUUAGAAUGUGCUAAAAAUCAAAUCACAAAUUAUGCAUAUAGAAGUACCUGUUUCUUUGUUUACUGCUCAACACAGAAUAGCCACAUGUGCGCACUCCCUCAGGUCUUUUGGAGAAAAUAUCCUUUCUAUUUUCUUCAGCUAUGUUCAAUUGUAUUCUUCAUUCUAUAAAAUAAUCUAAAAUAAUGCCACUAAAUUCUAAGCAAAUCUUGUCUGCUAAAUGAACUAAUGUAGCCCACAGCCAUAUGGCAUCGCCAGAUCAGAGUAUGCUAUUCUGCUCUUCUGAAAUAGACUACAUUUUCUAGAUAUCAUGUUUCUUUAGACCCGUCUAAAAUAACUAAUGGAUUUAUUGUGAUGAUCUAGGCUAUAUUACAUGGAUUUAUUAGACUUUUUCAAAUGUAGAUGUUCCAAAGGUCUGCAUCAGUGACUUGUAGGCUGUGCGUGGAAGCCGGGAGAUGCUAAAUGUGUUUAUGUUAAGUAAUGGUCAAAUACUGAGAACAGCAGUUAUUUGCGUGACAAUCACCGGCUGACAAAAUUUCAUGACCGCCACAGCCCUACCCUUGUGCACCCCCACCGACCACCGGGCCAUUGCCAUGAAGAGGAGAGGCGGGCUGGGCUGUUACCUCGGCUUCGGGCUGGGUCUGGAGCUGUCCGGGGAAGCCUAGCAUCCUGGCUGGGUUGCUGGGGUGGAGAUUAUGCUGGAGCAGCUGGACUGGCUCAGGAGGUCUCUGGUGUCUGUGAACAGAUUGUGUUUCUUCAGCCUGGCUGCCUCCUCCACCACUGUAGAGCAAACAGAGACAUGUUUAAAAGCACGCGCACUAAUAAUAUUGGUGUGGGUGAGCAGAGAGAGUAACAUUGUAGUAAUACCUAAAAUAUGUAUUACAAUUGAAUACGAUACAAAUGAAUAACUCCAAUAUCUAGCAGAAACAAUACCUUUGAUGACUUCCUUGUCCAGACUCUGCAGCAAAAUGCCCUCAUAGAUAUUGUGAACAUGGACAAAGUUGGAAUAGUCUGCAUAGAUGAACUGUUUAAGACCCUGCAGCUCCUAAAGACACAGAAACAACCAUUUCAACCUGCGAUUUUCUAAACAAUAAUGAGAUUUCAGGACACAAAAAAUAUGUAAAGGCCUGUGCUCUCAAAACACUUAUUUUGGGGCAGUAUAAUUUAUGCUGGCUUUCCCCCUAUUUUCUUGAGGGUUUUGAAGGCUAGCUGAGAGACUCACUGUUUUGCAGGUGUGUAGCAACUGAUAAUGUAAUAAAAUACCAAUAAUGGAAGAGGAGCUAAUAAUGUAAGAACUUUUGCAUGUGUAAAUAAUGUAAUAUACACUCUCUUUUACCCAUACAAGCAAGACCCUCUGUCAUCUACUAGUGCGACCAUCACUGGUGCAGUGAGACCCUCUACAACGUCUACAUCAUCCACAAAUAUGACCACCACCGGUGCAGCCAUGGAAGAUGAUGAAAUGGAGGAAGCACCGCUGGAUCUCGGACCACCUGAGAUUAUUAUGACCCUCACGGAAGUGACCACUGAGGACCUUGUUGAACAGGAUGUGGCCGUGGAGACAAACGAGGAGAGACACGAAGAGGAACAAAGCCACACCAGGCGCCAUCGGCGGUACCAGCCCCCAGAUCCACUCAUUUCAGCAGAGGCACCUCCAAGCUGUCAAGAGGGAUACAGCCCAACCUGAUGCUCACAGGAAGGAGGAGGAAGAGACCCUCUUUGCCAUCAGCCUGGUGACAACCCUAAAGAGGCUGCCUCAGCAAAGAAAAGCAGCAGUCAAGAGAUGCAGUCAAUUUAGCUGACCAGCUCACAGGAAGGACAGGAAGAGGUGAGCUGUCUGGUUGUUGUUUUGACCUUCUCCUCCAAUGGGUUUUGAGCAGGAGGUGAGGAGAGGACGCGAGGAAUCAAGGAAAUGCAACUGAUAUUUUCCAAGGGUCCUCACUUGAGAUUUUCUAACUUAUUCCGCUUACUAAUGUCCUUUCUUAGUAGGCUUUUUAGUAUAAAAUUAAUGGAAUUCAUAAAGUAAAUAGUUUCUCAAUACUUACUGUAGGACAGCAUUCAUUAUUCGUUGUACAUAGAUUGCAUGAAAAUUGACUGAAUUGAAACUGACACACCGGAGAAUUCAGAUGCUCUUGUUGUUCUUUUACAAGACUGAAGGUGAAAUGUGUGUUUACCUGUAUUGUGGCUACACAUUCACAGACAGCCCUGCCCUCUCUCUCUUUAUGGCCAUGUCUGAAGUUCCCCUACUAUGUCUAGGCUUUAUGAAUUGUCCCUGUAUCUGUCUGCAGUUGUGCAUGCUCUUGCUCUUGUUGUUCUCUUACAGAUUACAGGCUACACAAACAUUUUUGUAUUUUUACACGCACAUACAUGGACACACACCUCUUUCAAUAGUUAUUUUAUUUUUGGUAACAUUUCUACAACACACAUACCUGUCGUGUUCUUUCCUGCACUUGAAUACUCAUUAAAGUCUAAUGUUUUCAUAGUCAGUUGUUUCAUUUGUUUAUUAAUAUCUCAUUUAGACUUAAUCUGCUUAUUUCUUCCCUACACCUUUGCAGAUCUAAGACCAGAUUAAAGUAAAAACACACUCUCUUCCUAACCUGCAUUUUGUCAGACCAGUGAAGAUGGUGGUAAACUUUACUAUUUGUAUUGUCCCUAGGUCACCUAGGGUCCAUUGUUAUCAUACUAACUGUAUGUCGUAUAACCUUAAUUAGAGCUCCUGCUCACCUGAUGUACCAUGCCAGGUGUGUAUAAUACUG